UCAACCGAGUUGGUGCACCUAGCGAGGCU
rnacentral:sRNA from 1 species